GCGGUGUUAGCUCAGUUGGGAUGAGCGUUAGACUGAAGUCCAACUUCGGGAAUUCAUACAUCUAAAGGUCGUGCGUUCGAUCCGCACACACCGCA
rnacentral:tRNA from 1 species